GACAGAGGCCUCGAGCGUUAGGCGGAAUUACUGGGCGUAAAGCGUGCGCAGGCGGUUGUGUAAGACAGAUGUGAAAUCCCCGGGCUCAACCUGGGAACUGCAUUUGUGACUGCACAGCUGGAGUGCGGCAGAGGGGGAUGGAAUUCCGCGUGUAGCAGUGAAAUGCGUAGAUAUGCGGAGGAACACCGAUGGCGAAGGCAAUCCCCUGGGCCUGCACUGACGCUCAUGCACGAAAGCGUGGGGAGCAAACAGG
rnacentral:rRNA from 1 species